CCUACGGGUGGCAGCAGUGAGGAAUAUUGGUCAAUGGACGAGAGUCUGAACCAGCCAAGUAGCGUGAAGGAUGACUGCCCUAUGGGUUGUCAACUUCUUUUAUAUGGGAAUAAAACAGGGUAUGCAUACCAUCUUGUAUGUACCAUAUGAAUAAGGAUCGGCUAACUCCGUGCCAGCAGCCGCGGUAAUACGGAGGAUCCGAGCGUUAUCCGGAUUUAUUGGGUUUAAAGGGAGAGUAGGUGGAUUGUUAAGUCGGUUGUGAAAGUUUGCGGCUCAACCGUAAAAUUGCAGUUGAAACUGGCAGUCUUGAGUACAGUAGAGGUGGGCGGAAUUCGUGGUGUAGCGGUGAAAUGCUUAGAUAUCACGAAAAACUCCGAUUGCGAAGGCAGCUCACUGGACUGCAACUGACACUGAUGCUCGAAAGUGUGGGUAUCAAACAGGAUUAGAUACCCGUGUAGUC
rnacentral:rRNA from 1 species